rnacentral:rRNA from 1 species
CAAGCCUACGGGACGCAGCAGUGAGGAAUAUUGGUCAAUGGGCGGAAGCCUGAACCAGCCAAGUAGCGUGCAGGAUGACGGCCCUACGAGUUGUAAACUGCUUUUGUACGAGAAUAAUAGUUCUUACGUGUAGGGAUUUGAAUGUAUCGUACGAAUAAGGAUCGGCUAACUCCGUGCCAGCAGCCGCGGUAAUACGGAGGAUUCGAGCGUUAUCCGGAUUUAUUGGGUUUAAAGGGUGCGUAGGCUGUUGGAUAAGUUAGAGGUCAAAUGUCGGGGCUUAACCCCGUGCCUGCCUCUGAUACUGU